UGCACUCAACGCACUGCAGGGAUGGUGGAAGGUGCAUGUGAACAGGGCAGCAAAGCAAGGUCUGAUUUGGACUUCAUAACCGUGGUAAGGAGCAGAACCUAACACCCACCUUAGGUGUCAGCACAGAGGGAGGGUGCACUGGCGAUGGGGCAGUGUGUGAUCACUGCUCUGGGAUGGCAGCUUGAGAUACACGCAGAGAAGAUCAGCAAAACGGCACUGCAAAAGGAGCAGAACAAAAGCGCCGUGCUUGCUCUCAUUUAAAGAAGUGAGGCAAACACGAGACUUAGCAUCGAGUAGGAAAUACACCGUCUGCUGAGGAGCAGGAAGAGGCUGUCUGUAAGGAGAAGGGAUGGCGAGGAAUACCGCUUGGCACUGCAGCAGCGAUGGAGCAGGCUCUGGGAAUGGGCAGUCAGCCUUCAGAGAGCAGUCAUCAUCUCAGAGGGGUUUUCUUCUUAACAUUUCUUUUCAUUCAUUUUUUGGGGGAAGAAAUGUAACUUAACCGGAUAAAUCCCAUUGCCACAUGAAAGGAAAGCAGAUAAAUUAUUCUUAAUCCUUGAUAUUCACACCCUGCUACUAAGCCACCCCCACAGCACAGUGCACUGUGUGUGGUACCAUUAUACGUGCUGUAGAGCUGGUUAGAUAUAAAGCAGACGCCCUGAUCUCCAAAGCUCCCCUGACACUCUUUGGUGAGUGCAUCAUGGUGGUUCGACCAAAUUCUAAGCUGGGUAGCAACAUCCUUUUCCUUGCUUAAUUCCUCUUGUGCAUUCAAUAAGAUCUGAUAUUCAUUUCCCCUCCCAUAUCUUGUAGCCCUGCUUUGCUCUAUUCCACACUACAAGCAGACAUAGCACAGCAAGGAAUGAAGCGAUUGUUACAACGCCUUUACCAGCCUCACAGGGACAUGAGGAGGAUUAAUUAAUUGCUUUUAUAACCUAAGAUUAAAAAUAGUAUAAUCAUAAUAAAACCCGCUUCCUUCAUUAUCAGAAUCAGUUACUAAAAUCCCCAGUAAAGACAAUACGGGUUUCCUACUAAAAGCAAAAUCGGGACUGUAUCCUAAUCUCACCCCUGCUGGGAGGCACAAAGAAACUAACCCAGACUAACUUUUACGGUCAGGAAAUUAUAUCUCAUUAAA